CUUUAAGUGGCAAUGCACCCGGAUGCGCCCUACUUUAGUAUUUUACUGUAUCUAACGCCAGACGAUUUUACUCGUCAAGUGGAGAGUGCUGCCACUCAAUGGGUUAAACAUCAUGGAUAUUUUACCAAUUCACCUUAUCGGUAAUCUAUAAUAACUAAUCAUGGUAAGAGUUCAAUUUCCCGUUUUCCAUUGUUAUUCCUUGGGCCUAAUAAAUAUUAAUGCAGUCAUGAAAC